UACCCUUCCUCUUUGGCGUGUUGUUCUCAACCAUUGCAGGACGGAUCUUCGCCUCAGCGGUGGCUGCAGUUUUAGUCUGCUAUUUGUUUUUACUUUAUCUCCAAAAACAAAAACAAAAUGUGUGUUUAUGUUGCGGCACAAAAGUCAGUCGAAGAAAUUCACCAUAUUUUAAAGCAGCAUUUAGUCUCUUUCCUACAUCAAUAAAACUACCAGUCAGCCUGGUAUCCUUAUUAAAUCAGAAGACCUACAGAUCCGUGUUAGAAAUUGACGUUAUUGAAGACACAGACCCAGGACUGGAAAGACGUGUCUGUAGAUUUCUAAAUACAGGCACCGAUAUCAAU